AGAUUUUCCAAUCACAUGGAUUGAAUUAGCAUGAGCCAUACAUAUGUGAUUCUUUGGUAUUCCCAAUAAUUCCACUUAUGCAAAAUCUUGCUUCUUACAAAAAAAUAGAAUGUAACCAGAUGCCAAAAAACAUUUAUAAAGGAUAUUUUAAAGCCAUGAGGGUCCUGGCCACUUUGCAAACUGAGCUUUGUUUUUCUCUUUUUGAGGGGGCCCUGUCUUCAACCUUCUUCAUAAUAUAGGAAUGACAUUGGCUGUCAGAUUACAAAACUGACCAUAGUUCUUUACUGAACUCCAUCCUUUCCCUUUGCAACAUGACUUCAUGGCUCCAAUCUGGGCUGACUGUGUGUGACUUAUUUUGAUCAAAGUAAUGUUGUAGAGACAUUGUUCCAGCCAAAAGUAUCUUGCAUGCUUCAACUGCUUUUUGGACCUUAGUUUGCAUCAUUGAAACAAAUGUGGACCAGUCUGCUAUAAGAUAAGGUCCCACAUGGAGAAAUCUGCUGAAAUGUUCCAGCUACGACCCUAGAUUAUGACUCAAACCAGCUGUGGGUAUCUCAAACUAGCCCAGGCCAACAGAAUCACUCAGAGGAUAAAACAGACAGACAGAAGCCAGGUGACUUGCAAAAGAUGACACAGGCUCUAAGACCAAGCAUGAACCCCAAUGUUCUACUGUGUCCAAGAUGGACCCUGUGUUGUACCAAGUAAUUGUACCAGUGUCUGCCCUCCUCCAGCCAGCUGUCCUGGGCAAGUACUUGGUGGCAGUGUUCCAAGAGAGAGGACUGAAAUGCACAGGACCUUCUGAAGCCUAGAGGCAGAAGGACAGGACAUCACUUCUGAUGCAUUUCGUUGGUCUGGGCACAUCACAAGCCAACCAGAAUGGAGGGGUAGGAGAACCCGCCUCUCACUUGGAAGAACUCCAAUGUUACAUUGCAAAGAAGCAUGAAAGGGGAUAAUUGUGAUCAUUUCUGUAAACAUUUUUCCCACAAAUAUCCUGAUUCCCCUGCUAUUGUGCAUUUCUUCCUCACAGAAAUGGAGUGUGGUAUUAUAUGGACUGAGAGGAAGAUGGAGGCCACACAGCCUUGUCCUGA